rnacentral:rRNA from 1 species
UGCCAGCCGCCGCGGUAAAACGUAGGAGGCAAACGUUAUCCGGAAUUACUGGGCGUAAAGCGCAUGCAGGCGGUCUUCUAAGUCGGACGUGAAAGCUCCUGGCUCAACUGGGAGAGGCCGUUCGAAACUAGGAGACUUGAGGGUGGUAGAGGAGAGUGGAAUUCCCGGUGUAGUGGUGAAAUGCGUAGAUAUCGGGAGGAACACAAGUGGCGAAGGCGGCUCUCUGGGCCACACCUGACGCUCAGAUGCGAAAGCUAGGGGAGAGAACGGGAUUAGAUA